rnacentral:rRNA from 1 species
GAGUUUGAUCGUGGCUCAGAUUGAACGCUGGCGGAAUGCUUUACACAUGCAAGUCGAACGGCAGCACGGGGGCAACCCUGGUGGCGAGUGGCGAACGGGUGAGUAAUACAUCGGAACGUGCCCAGUCGUGGGGGAUAACGUAGCGAAAGCUACGCUAAUACCGCAUACGAUCUCUGGAUGAAAGCGGGGGACCGCAAGGCCUCGCGCGAUUGGAGCGGCCGAUGGCAGAUUAGGUAGUUGGUGGGGUAAAGGCUCACCAAGCCGACGAUCUGUAGCUGGUCUGAGAGGACGACCAGCCACACUGGGACUGAGACACGGCCCAGACUCCUACGGGAGGCAGCAGUGGGGAAUUUUGGACAAUGGGCGCAAGCCUGAUCCAGCCAUUCCGCGUGCAGGAUGAAGGCCCUCGGGUUGUAAACUGCUUUUGUACGGAACGAAACGGCUCUCUCUAAUACAGGGGGCUAAUGACGGUACCGUAAGAAUAAGCACCGGCUAACUACGUGCCAGCAGCCGCA